UACAGAGGAGCCAAGCGUUGUCCGGAUUGACUGGGCGUAAAGCGCACGCAGGCGGCUGCGCGCGUGGGGUGUGAAAUCUGGCCGCUUAACGGCCAGGCGCCAUCCCAUACGGCGCGCCUGGAGCCUUGCAGAGGGCGGUGGAAUUGCCGGUGUAGUGGUGAAAUGCGUAGAGAUCGGGAAGAACAUCAGUGGCGAAGGCGGCCUGCUGGGCUGUUGCUGACGCUGAGGCGCGACAGCGUGGGGAGCAAACAGG
rnacentral:rRNA from 1 species